GAGACGUCGGGGGUUCGAUUCCCCCAAUCU
rnacentral:tRNA from 1 species